AUGGCGGGGCUGCAGCGGUCGAGCGAGACGUUCCGGCGGUCGGGGUCGUCAGGGAUGGUGUGGGAGGACAAGCAGCAGCUGUCGGCGUCGGGCAAGGAGGCGGCGGCCCCGGCGCGGAUGCAGCGGAGCGGCUCCAGCGGGGGGCACGGCGGGUACAGGGCGGGGCACGUCCAGCCGGCGCUCGACCCACCCUCCCCGCGCGUCGCCGCCUGCGGCUUCUGCAGCCUCUUCGGCAAGCAGGCGCCCCAGCCGCAGCACCGCGCGGGCGGCGGCAGCGCCAAGGGGAAGCGCCGGUGA
rnacentral:rRNA from 1 species